rnacentral:RNase_P_RNA from 1 species
AAAUUCGAGUAAUCGCUGCAACUCAUUACGAAGUUGUAGAGGAAAGUCCAUGCUCACACGGCUCUGAGAUGACCGUAGUGUUCGUGCUUACUGAAAAAAUAAGGUAAGGCAAGGCUCGCCUUGACGGCGGAAGGAAAACCUAAGUCUUUUGAUAUGGUUGACACUUCCUGAAAGUGCCACAGUGACGUAGCUUCAUUGGAAACAGUGAAGGUGGAACGAGGUAAACCCCACGAGUGAGAAACCCAAAUUAUGGUAGGGGCACUCUCCUGAAGGAAAUGAACGGAUGGAGGGACGAAAGAUUUCUUUCGUAGAUAGAUGAUUACUACCCGCUUUGUACGAGGUUUUUAACCGUUUGAGUACUCGGGAACAAAACAUGGCUUAUGAA